AUUGAACGCUGGCGGCGUGCCUAACACAUGCAAGUCGGGCGGUAACAGGCGUAGCAAUACGUGCUGACGAGCGGCGAACGGGUGAGUAAUGCUUCGGAAUCUGCCCAAUGGUGGGGAAUAACCAGCCGAAAGGUUGGCUAAUACCGCAUGAGCCCUACGGGGGAAAGCGGGGGAUCGUAAGACCUUGCGCCGAUGGAUGA
rnacentral:rRNA from 1 species